GACGAACGCUGGCGGCGUGCUUAACACAUGCAAGUCGAACGAUGACGACCGAGCUUGCUCGGUCUGAUUAGUGGCGAACGGGUGAGUAACACGUGAGCAACCUGCCCUUCACUCUGGGAUAACCUCGGGAAAUCGGGGCUAAUACCGGAUAUGAGCUCCUGUCGCAUGGCGGGUGUUGGAAAGUUUUUCGGUGAAGGAUGGGCUCGCGGCUUAUCAGUUUGUUGGUGAGGUAGUGGCUCACCAAGGCGAUGACGGGUAGCCGGCCUGAGAGGGCGACCGGCCACGCUGGGACUGAGACACGGCCCAGACUCCUACGGGAGGCAGCAGUGGGGAAUAUUGCACAAUGGGCGAAAGCCUGAUGCAGCGACGCCGCGUGAGGGAUGACGGCCUUCGGGUUGUAAACCUCUUUCAGCAGGGAAGAAGCGAAAGUGACGGUACCUGCAGAAGAAGCGCCGGCUAACUACGUG
rnacentral:rRNA from 1 species